CUGAUGCAGCCAUGCCGCGUGUGUGAAGAAGGCCUUCGGGUUGUAAAGCACUUUCAGCGAGGAGGAAAGGUCAGUAGCUAAUAUCUGCUGGCUGUGACGUUGCUCGCAGAAGAAGCACCGGCUAACUCCGUGCCAGCAGCCGCGGUAAUAC
rnacentral:rRNA from 1 species